rnacentral:rRNA from 1 species
GGGGAAUAUUGCGCAAUGGGGGAAACCCUGACGCAGCGACGCCGUGUGAGGGAAGAAGGCUUUCGGGUCGUAAACCUCUGUCGGGAAGGAAGAACCCCCCAGGUCCGAAUAGGGCCUGGGGCUGACGGUACUUCCAGAGGAAGCACCGGCUAACUCCGUGCCAGCAGCCGCGGUAAUACGGAGGAUCCGAGCGUUAUCCGGAUUUAUUGGGUUUAAAGGGUGCUCAGGCGGGGGAUUAAGUCGGCGGUGAAAUUUUGCAGCUCAACUGUAAAAGGGCCGUGGAAACUGGUUUCCGUGAGGGCGGAUGAGGUAGGCGGAAUUUGUGGUGUAGCGGUGAAAUGCAUAGAUAUCACGAGGAACUCCGAUUGCGCAGGCAGCUUACCAAGCCGUAACUGACGCUCAAGCACGAAGGCGUGGGGAUCAAACA